UACGUAGGGUGCGAGCGUUUGUCCGGAAUUAUUGGGCGUAAAGAGCUCGUAGGUGGUUUGUCGCGUUGUUCGUGAAAACUCACAGCUCAACUGUGGGCGUGCGGGCGAUACGGGGCAGACUGGAGUACUGCAGGGGGAGACUGGAAUUCCUGGUGUAGCGGUGGAAUGCGCAGAUAUCAGGAGGAACACCGGUGGCGAAGGCGGGUCUCUGGGCAGUAACUGACGCUGAGGAGCGAAGGCGUGGGGGAGCGAACAGG
rnacentral:rRNA from 1 species